rnacentral:rRNA from 1 species
UACGAAGGGGGCUAGCGUUGUUCGGAAUUACUGGGCGUAAAGCGCGCGCAGGCGGUCUUCCAAGUCAGUGGUGAAAGCCUGGAGCUCAACUCCAGAACUGCCAUUGAAACUGUUAGACUUGAGUACGAGAGAGGUGAGUGGAAUUCCCAGUGUAGAGGUGAAAUUCGUAGAUAUUGGGAAGAACACCAGUGGCGAAGGCGGAUCUCUGGGCCGUAACUGACGCUGAGGAGCGAAAGCAUGGGGAGCGAACAGG